rnacentral:tRNA from 1 species
UGGGGUAUGGUGUAAUCGGCAGCACGACUGGUUCUGGUCCAGUUAGUCUAGGUUCGAGUCCUGGUACCCCAG